rnacentral:misc_RNA from 1 species
GAUGAAGAACGCAGCGAAAUGCGAUAAGUAAUGUGAAUUGCAGAAUUCAGUGAAUCAUCGAAUCUUUGAACGCACAUUGCGCCCGCCAGUAUUCUGGCGAGCAUGCCUGUUCGAGCGUCAUUUCAACCAUCAAGCCCCAGGCUUGUGUUGGAGCCCUGCGGCUGCCGCAGCCUCCCAAAACCAGUGGCGGGCUCGCUAUCACACCGAGUGCAGUAGUUUACUCUUCGCUCAGGGCGUGUGGCGGGUGCUAGCCGUGAAACCCCCAACUUCUCAAGGUUGACCUCGGAUCAGGUAGGAAUACCCGCUGAACUUAAGCAUAACAAUAAGCGGAGGA